GGUGAAAUCAUUGUUCCCCAAGUCACCUUCAUUACCAACGACCUUUUCCGGCGACCUCAUUCCGGCGGUUUCGCAAGGCGGUCUCCACGGCCGUCUUACUCUCUUCAUCUCGUUUUCGAGGGAGAGCGGCGCGGUCUAAGGCGGUGAAGGCAGCGGCGCCGGUGAAGUCAGCGACGUCUGAAAAUCUAUGUGGGCUUCCGGUGCGGGUGAAGGCAGCGGCGCGGUCUGAGGCGGUGACGGCGGCGCCUAGGUCAGAGAAGGUGGCGGCAGCAGCGCGGUGGGGCGGAGGCGUGAAGACGGCGGCAAGAUUCUAGGGUUUGACUUGGCUGGAUCUAUGUUCGGGGGAGUUUCCGGCGUGUUCGGUCUGAGACGGUGACGGCGGCGGCCUAGUGGCGGAGGUGUGAAAAUGGCGGCUGAAUUCUAGGGAUUGAGUUUUUUGAAAUUUAGAUGUAGUAAAUUUUUGGUAGUAAUUUUAUUUGAAGUAAUUUUAUGUAAAGUAAUUUUGUAUUUUAAUUCAAAUAUAUUAGAUAAAACUUUUCAGUU